UGGGGAAUCUUGCGCAAUGGGCGAAAGCCUGACGCAGCAACGCCGCGUGCGGGAAGAAGGCUCUCGGGUUGUAAACCGCUUUCAGAAGGAACGAAACUGACGGUACUUUCAGAAGAAGGUGCGGCCAACUACGUGCCAGCGGCCGCGGUGACACGUAGGCACCAAGCGUUGUCCGGAUUUAUUGGGCGUAAAGAGCUCGUAGGCGGUUCAGUAAGUCAGGUGUGAAAUCUUUGGGCUUAACCCAAAGCGUGCACUUGAUACUGCUGUGACUUGAGUUCGGUAGGGGAGUGGGGAAUUCCUAGUGUAGCGGUGAAAUGCGCAGAUAUUAGGAGGAACACCGGUGGCGAAGGCGCCACUCUGGGCCGAAACUGACGCUGAGGAGCGAAAGCGUGGGUAGCAAAC
rnacentral:rRNA from 1 species